AUAUUUUAAAAUAAAAAAAUUUCCUUAAUGGCUUCAACAUUAUGCUCAUAAUAAGCUAUUAAAAUA
rnacentral:tRNA from 1 species